rnacentral:lncRNA from 13 species
CUGGAUUUACUCAGAAAAGGACAUCAAUGACCAUUGGACCAUAUACUUCUCCACAAUAUUGCAGGGACUGAAGGUGGACUUUUAACAAGUGCAGUGACAAUGCAGGAGCAUCUCUCAGUCCAGCACAUGGGCACCAGGAGCACAAAGUUCUCCUAGUAGUGAGGUUUGUCCUGGGCCUCGUCCAGACUACCAUGCCUGACCUCCUGGCCAACCUGAGUGUUCCAUGGGGCACACAGGCGAUUGUGAGCCCCAACCUGACAGCAGCUGCCCUGGUUGUGCCGGGGUCAGACAAGACUCUGGCCCCCUUCUGCACCUUCUGCUGCUGUGGCCUGCUGAACCGUACCCUGGCUGUGGUGUUUAUGGUCAGUCUGGCCUUCGCCAUAGUGGUGGGCAACGUGGUCACGCUCACCGUCUUCAUGCAGACAAGACAGGUCCGUACACCACAGGGAUACCUCAAAGUCUCUCUGGCCAUAGCAGACAUGAUGGUUGGAGUGCUGGUGGUUCCUUUCUCUGUCUACACUGAGAUCUCUCUGAUGGUGACCAGUUCCCCUCCUGUCUGGUACCAGGGGGGCACUGACCCCUCCAUGGGGGGCCUGGUGGGCCCCUGGCAGCCCUGCAUGCUGAUUGGUCCAGUCUUCGCUGGCUGUACAUUUGUCUCCAUCAGUACUAUUUUCCUGAUGACGGUAGAGCGCUGUGUGGCCAUCUUAUGGCCCCUUCAUAAGGACCACCUGGUGACACGGAGACGUACCCUGUUUCUCAUCCUCUUCUCCUGGGCAGGCAGUUUCCUCCUGGCCCUGGCCCCCCUCAUCCUCAGCAACAACUUCACACUGGAGUACAGUGAGUGCAGCCGGAUGUGUAACUACGUCCCCCUGUGGGAUGGAGUCACGCUGCCCUCUGAUGCCAACAUCCUCCUGCUGUUCCCUGUGUUUGACUUCACGCUGCUGGGAGGCACCCUGGUAUUCAACAUCCUGUCCUUCACCAGCAUCCGCCGCUACACACGCAAGCGUAAACUCAUGUCAGAGGGGAAUGUAGGGGUCGAGGGAGGGGGAGGCGGCUGCCAACAUAGACCCUCCUUCUCUGACAUCAAGGCUGCCAAGACAAUCAGCAUUCUGACGUUUGCCUUCACGGCUUCCUUCACCCCCAUCGCUGUGUUUGUGCUGGGAAACGUGGUGGGCUUCACCUGGUGCAACUUCUCCUUUGUAGCCUUCUGGAUCCUGACUGGGAACAGCUGCUGUAAUGUGAUAAUAUACAGCGUGAGAGACCAGCGCUUCAAGAAAGGAGUGACUCUGCUUUUUCAGAGGGAGCACUCACCUUCCCAUGGGGAGAAAGGCGGAGCUACACCACCCCCACCUACCUUGUGA